AAACUACUCCCUCCGUUUUGAAUUACUUGUCGGAGGUAUGGAUGUAUCUAGAUGUAUUUUAGUUUUAGAUACAUCCAUUUCUGUAACAAGUAAUUUAGAAUAAAGGGAGUACGUA
rfam:Triticum urartu cultivar G1812 contig12386, whole genome shotgun sequence.